AUUUUGCUUUCCCCUUUUUACUCUUGGUAUGCCCUUCGAGAGCUUUCAAUCCACUGUAUAAUGAGUCCAUCACUAGAGUAGAUGUCACCUCCUUCUCAAUAAAAAAGUGUUUUACGACAACUUUUAGAAUUGUAUCUGUCUUUUCCCUAGACAUACGCCGCCUAGCAUUCUGGUCAAUCCCCAACCAGAAAGCUCGAAAACUUG
rnacentral:misc_RNA from 1 species